UGGAGCAUGUGGGGGAAAAUAAUGUUGAAAAGUCAAAAAUAGUGACUGCUCAAGCAAGAAGCAGCUGUUGGUAAAAUAAUCAUAACUUGAGCUACAGACAUUGGAUCGAGGUGAUUCAAGUUGGGUUGGAAAGAUAAGGAACGUUUCUACAACUUUCAUGUUUUAGAAGAAGUCAAAUUCGUAUCACAAGGCAGCCAAAAUUAUCGUGAAAAGUCCAGCUUGAUACCUGCCGGAUACAGCUUUACCUGUGAAGCAGAACUUAUUGUUUUUGUCAUAUCUGGAGUUAUAUAGAUCCAAUGAACCUUAUAUUUGAACCAAUGGAAAGCUAACUCAAGUGGUAAUAAUUUGUCUGUUGAUCAUAAGUCCAAAUUCGCUGCACAAUGUAUCUGAAAAUUGGCAUCAAGUUGCAUGUUCCAGCUGUCUUGAAGCUGGACAGAAACAAGUUGCAUUGCCUACUUGAAUUUUGGAUGUUCCUUUGCCUAUAAAAGGGGACCUUAGCCACGAUUUUGAAGAAUCAAUUCUCUCCAUCAUAUUCUAGUUUCCUUCAUUUUUUUUUGUAAUAUUUCACUAUGUAUUUCUAAACAUUUAGCUAGAGCUAAGG
rnacentral:lncRNA from 1 species